rnacentral:rRNA from 1 species
GAUCAUGGCUCAGGAUGAACGCUGGCGGCGUGCCUAACACAUGCAAGUCGAACGGACUUACAUUGAAGCUUAGCGAUAUGUAAGUUAGUGGCGGACGGGUGAGUAACGCGUGGGUAACCUGCCUUGUACUGGGGACAACAGUUGGAAACGACUGCUAAUACCGCAUAAGCGCACAGCUUCGCAUGAAGCAGUGUGAAAAACCCCGGUGGUACAAGAUGGACCCGCGUCUGAUUAGCUGG